rnacentral:rRNA from 1 species
CCUACGGGAGGCAGCAGUAGGGAAUAUUGCUCAAUGGGCGAAACCCUGAAGCAGCAACGCCGCGUGGAUGAUGAAGGUCUUCGGAUCGUAAACCUCUGUUGUGAGAGAAGAUCAUACCUGUAUGUCACGAUUCACCUCUUGCCAAUACCGUGUCAGCAACCGCGGUAAUACGGAGGGUGCAAGCGUUCCUCGGAAUCACUGUGCGUAAAGAUUGCGCAGGCGGGUUUGUAAGUCAGAUGUGAAAGCCUGUAGCUUAACUACAGAACGGCAUUUGAAACUAUGAGUCUAGAGUGUGGAAGAGGUAGGUGGAAUUCUAGGUGUAGGGGUAAAAUCCGUAGAGAUAAAGAGGAAUACUAGUGGCGAAGGCGACCUUCUGGAACAUUACUGACGCUGAUGUGCGAAAGCGUGGGGAGCAAACAGGAUUAGAUACCCGUGUAGUC